rnacentral:rRNA from 1 species
CCCUUAGAUGUCCUGGGCCGCACGCGCGCUACACUGAGUGUCUGAGAUACGAGUCUGCCUGGUCCGGCAAGGUCUAGGUAAUCGCUAAAAGACACAUCAUGCUUGGGAUAGAUUAUUGCAAAUAUUAAUCUUGAACGAGGAAUUCCUAGUAAGCGCAAGUCAUCAGCUUGCGUUGAUUACGUCCCUGCCCUUUGUACACACCGCCCGUCGCUACUACCGAUUGAAUGGCUUAGUGAGGCUUCCGGAUUGGUUUAGAGAAGGGGGCAACUCCAUCUUGGAACCGAGAAGCUAGUCAAACUUGGUCAUUUAGAGGAAGUAAAAGUCGUAACA